AUUGAACGCUGGCGGCAUGCCUUACACAUGCAAGUCGAACGGUAACAGGUCUUCGGAUGCUGACGAGUGGCGAACGGGUGAGUAAUACAUCGGAACGUGCCCAGACGUGGGGGAUAACGAGGCGAAAGCUUUGCUAAUACCGCAUACGAUCUAAGGAUGAAAGCAGGGGACCGCAAGGCCUUGCGCGUUUGGAGCGGCCGAUGGCAGAUUAGGUAGUUGGUGGGAUAAAAGCUUACCAAGCCGACGAUCUGUAGCUGGUCUCAGAGGACGACCAGCCACACGGGGACUGAGGCACGGCCCAGACUCCUACGGGAGGCAGCAGUGGGGAAUUUUGGACAAUGGGCGAAAGCCUGAUCCAGCAAUGCCGCGUGAAGGAUGAAGGCCUUCGGGUUGUAAACUGCUUUUGUACGGAACGAAAAGGCUCUGGCUAAUACCUGGGGCACAUGACGGUACCGGAAGAAUAAGCACCGGCUAACUACGUG
rnacentral:rRNA from 1 species